rnacentral:lncRNA from 1 species
CCCGCGAUGGCUGGCUCGGGGCGCGCGCGCGGGGGGCGCCCGCGGCCGGCGCUCCUGCUGCUGCUGCUGCUGCUGCAUCUGCGGUGGCCCCAGGUCGCCGGCGCUGCGGGUACGCGCUGGAGCGGGCCCGGUACCACCCCGCACCUGCAGACCAUCUUCCUGGGCCGCUGCGCCGAGCAGAUCGCACUGCAGAACCCGGAGCUGCGGGACAAGAACUGCACAGCCAUCUGGGAAGCGUUUAAAGUGGUGCUGGAUAAGGAUCCCUGUUCUGUGCAACCCUCGGAUUAUGACCUUUUUAUUAACCUCUCCAGACACUCCAUUCCCAGAGACAAGUCCCUGUUCUGGGAAAACAACCACCUCCUUGUCACCAGCUAUGCAGAGAGCGGCCGCCGCCUUGUACCGCUCUGCAACGUUCUGUAUGGCAGGGUCGGAGAUUUCUUGAACUGGUGUCGACAGACAAAUGCCUCAGGACUCGACUACCAAUCCUGUCCAACAUCAGAAGAUUGUGAAAACAACCCUGUGGAUUCUUUCUGGAGAAGCGCAUCCAUCCAGUAUGCAAGAGAUAGUUCUGGGGUGAUCAAUGUCAUGCUGAAUGGCUCAGAGCCAGCAGGAGCCUAUCCUGUGAAAGGUUUUUUUGCAGAUUUUGAAAUUCCUUACCUCCAGAAGGAUAAAAUCACACGGAUUGAUAUCUGGGUUAUGCAUGAAAUCGGAGGACCCAAGGUGGAAUCCUGUGGAGAAGGCAGCGUGAAGCUCCUGGAAGAGAGGCUGGACAAGAUGGGUUUCCAGUACAGCUGUACCGAUGACUACCCACCAGUGAAGCUCUUAAAGUGUGUGGAACACAGCACUCAUCCUGACUGUGCCUUAAGUUCGGCAGCAGCGUCUACUCAGAGGGCAGCCUUUUAUGCAGUACAAGGUGCCUGCUUUAUCUUUCCUCUCUUAGCAGCUUUCGCUUCAGUUGCUCAGAUGUAACUAGAAACUCAGUUAUGCUGCCUAAGUGGCCCGCAGACCUGAAACCUGCCCUUGCCCAGUCAUCCUUGUCUGUAUACACCAAGUGGUUCCAUUGUCUAAAGAAGCUUCCUGCUGGCUGAACACUGUUCUGAAAUGGAUUGUGAGUGAUAUACAUGCUCAGGAUUUCAGAAAUCAAUCUAGUUCUAUUUAGCUGGUUAAAAACAACUUCAUUAGAGCAAAGUUAGUUAUUAUUUUCUUAUUUUCAUAAUACAAUGCAUUGAGACACAGACUGUCUUAUACAAGCAAACAUUUUAAGAAAAUUUUAGUACAACUGUGUAUAUAUUUUCAUAUAUUCCUAUGCCACCAGCAGAGCAUACUGCCUGUUUGUUGACAGCUUCAAAUAUAUGUAUACUAUACAAGUAUAUUCAAAGGUGUUUGGUAGGCAAAAAGUUAUGUAUGAAGAUGUCCAUUUAAUGGUUAUUUAUAAUGAGGGGGAACUAAAAAUUCUAAUAAUAGGGAAUUCUUUGCAUAUGGUUCAGUAUAUCUGUAGGAUGGGAUAUCAUUCAAAUAGGAAA